GACGGAGGGGGCUAGCGUUGUUCGGAAUCAUUGGGCGUAAAGCGCGUGUAGGCGGCUCGAUAAGUCUGCUGUGAAAGUUCAGGGCUCAACCCUGAAAUGCCGGUGGAAACUGUCGGGCUAGAGUCCGGAAGAGGCGAGUGGAAUUCCUGGUGUAGCGGUGAAAUGCGCAGAUAUCAGGAGGAACACCAAUGGCGAAGGCAGCUCGCUGGGACGGUACUGACGCUGAGACGCGAAAGCGUGGGGAGCAAACAGG
rnacentral:rRNA from 1 species